GCAAACUAGUGGACGAAAAUUGGAUCGUCAAUCUUUCUUUGCGGAUUUAUAUCACGGCGAAGCUGUAACGCGGAUUUUUUUUUAGAAUCUGUGCGCACAUGGAGGAACAUUCCGGAUGGGGUUCAAGUAAGGAAAUUGGCCAGAUUUCUUUCUCACUACUGGUUGCGCCGAUCAAACUCCGAGCCGCAGCUUUUAUACGUUCAGAGGAAAAGUUAAAAUGGUAUCCUUACUUUUAGUCAUGAGGGAGAGUGAAUCAAAAAACGCCUGUAGGAUAAUGAUUCAGCUAUUUUUACCGCCUGCAAAAUCAAGGACAAUUGAAUGGGUAACACCCAAAUUGGAUCCGGCUAUCUGACAGAAAUUCUAUGAAGUCUGCUGCUGAUAUAGGGAUGAGAUCUGACGCUGAGAAAUAUUUACCUGACCCGGCACCCCGCUCUAGUAUUGAGGCUUAGCCAACCCUAUACGGCGAAGAUGCCGUCCGGGCCUUCGAAUGUUGUUUGCUAUGCAGAUACGCGAAACGCAGCUGCCACAUAUUUGUGAGGACGCAUAAAUGUAAAGCAUGGAUCCAAUGGGCGUGGAAGUGUUGCCAAUAUCGCCGCCUAAAUUCAAAGGAAACCGAUGCUGCUAAGAAGCAGCUCACUUACAGGGUUUCCUGAAUUCGAUCAUCCACGGCCUCUACCGGACUGUCAAUGGUCGGCUUGAUGUUGAAUUUCCGCCAAAAAUCAAUUCCCAGGAUGCAUUUCCUGUUGAGAUCUGGAGCAAUCACUAUAGAUGUACACGGAGGGCACGUUCAUUAAGCUGUCUCUUUUCCAAGCUAUCGAUGCUACGAAUGGCCAGCUCGUAUUCCAGUUCAUCAAUUGUUAAGUGCGCACAGUUCAUUCCAUAGUACAACACAUAAAGAUGGGACAUAUCCAUGUUGAUAAAAUUAAGGUAAAAUUUAAAUUAAUUAAAUAUGUAUUUAAAAUACAGAAAUAUACAGAGAAAACCAAGCAACCUAAUACUGCAAAAUAAAUAAAUAAAUUACCUAAAUAAAAUUAAUUACCAACUAUUUUAACCUCACGAUUCAAAUAAAUAAAUUAAAAUCAAAUCACAAAUUAAUACACAAUGUUUGAAACUUAUUCUAAAUUGAAAUAAAUAACGAAAUGCGUAACGGAAAUACAACCACUAAUAAUAAAACUAAUUUAGAA